CUGUUUUUGACGACUUUCAGCGUAACCAUGGAGUAAUUUUCUCAAAUGGGGAAGGAUGGAAAGUGACUCGAAGAUUUACUCUGUCCAUUCUACGAGAUCUUGGGAUGG